rnacentral:rRNA from 1 species
GGGUCAGUAGGUUGGUCGUGCCACCGGUACGUACUGGUCUCACUGAUUCCUCCUUCCUGAAGAACCGUAAUGCCAUUAAUUUGGUGUUGCGGGGAAACAGGACUGUUACUUUGAAAAAAUUAGAGUGUUUAAAGCAAGCUAACGCUUGAAUACAUUAGCAUGGAAUAAUGAAACAGGACGAUCGAUCCUAUUUUGUUGGUCUCUAGGAUUGACGUA